AUUGAACGCUGGCGGCAUGCUUUACACAUGCAAGUCGAACGGCAGCACGAAAGAGCUUGCUCUUUUGGUGGCGAGUGGCCAACGGGUGAGUAAUGCAUCGGAACGUACCGAGUAAUGGGGGAUAACUGUCCGAAAGGAUAGCUAAUACCGCAUACGCUUUGAGAAGGAAAGUGGGGGCUCUUCGGACCUCACGUUAUUCGAGCGGCCGAUGUCUGAUUAGCUAGUUGGUGGGGUAAAGGCCUACCAAGGCGACGAUCAGUAGCGGGUCUGAGAGGAUGAUCCGCCACACUGGGACUGAGACACGGCCCAGACUCCUACGGGAGGCAGCAGUGGGGAAUUUUGGACAAUGGGCGCAAGCCUGAUCCAGCCAUGCCGCGUGUCUGAAGAAGGCCUUCGGGUUGUAAAGGACUUUUGUUAGGGAAGAAAAGGAUAGUGUUAAUACCAUUAUCUGCUGACGGUACCUAAAGAAUAAGCACCGGCUAACUACGUG
rnacentral:rRNA from 1 species